rnacentral:rRNA from 1 species
GACCACAGCCAUAUCACCCUGCAGCCCAAGACUGGUUGCCCACUGAAGCUAAGCAGGGCUGACCCUGGUUAGUACCUGGAUGGGAGACCUCCUGGGAAAACUAGGUUGCUGUUGGAA